GACUCCCUGGGUGUCUUCUUCGAUAAAGGUUAUGGGUUCUUCAACCUUUUGCCGCUUGGGGGAUACAGACGGUAUGUUGGUUGCCUCCCGCCGGGAUCCCCCCAAAAUGGUGUUGACGGAAUCCGAUAGAGGCCGAUCGUCCGGCCACUCCUUGUCGGCGACCAUAGCCGGAGGUAGUUGUGCGAAUGCCUCGCGAGAAGGUAUCAGAUGAGGAAAGGAGGAGUGGGUGCCGGAUAGGAUGACCGGAAGUGGAUCUGUUGAGCGCUCCUUUAAGAACAAGGGUAUUGCGAAGACACA
rnacentral:lncRNA from 1 species